UACGGGGGGAGCAAGCGUUGUUCGGAUUUACUGGGCGUAAAGGGCGCGUAGGCGGUCGUGACAAGUCACUUGUGAAAUCUCCGGGCUUAACUCGGAACGGUCAAGUGAUACUGUCGGACUAGAGUACAGAAGGGGCAACUGGAAUUCUCGGUGUAGCGGUGAAAUGCGUAGAUAUCGAGAGGAACACCUGCGGCGAAGGCGGGUUGCUGGGCUGACUAUCGAGCGCUGAGGCGCGAAAGCCAGGGGAGCGAACGGG
rnacentral:rRNA from 1 species